CACGUAGGGUGCGAGCGUUGUCCGGAAUUAUUGGGCGUAAAGAGCUCGUAGGCGGUGUGUCGCGUCGGCCGUGAAAACUUGCAGCUUAACUGUGGGCGUGCGGUCGAUACGGGCAUCACUGGAGUUCGGCAGGGGAGACUGGAAUUCCUGGUGUAGCGGUGAAAUGCGCAGAUAUCAGGAGGAACACCGGUGGCGAAGGCGGGUCUCUGGGCCGAUACUGACGCUAAGGUGCGAAAGCGUGGGGAGCGAACAGG
rnacentral:rRNA from 1 species